UACGUAGGGUGCGAGCGUUAAUCGGAAUUACUGGGCGUAAAGCGUGCGCAGGCGGUUCGUUAAGUCUGAUGUGAAAGCCCCGGGCUCAACCUGGGAAUGGCAUUGGAAACUGGCGGGCUGGAGUGUGGCAGAGGGGGGUGGAAUUCCGCGUGUAGCAGUGAAAUGCGUAGAGAUGCGGAGGAACACCGAUGGCGAAGGCAGCCCCCUGGGCUGACACUGACGCUCAGGCACGAAAGAGUGGGGAGCAAACAGG
rnacentral:rRNA from 1 species